UGCUUUUUUUAGAUGAUGAGAAAGGAAAGUCAAGAUGAAUGAACAAGUUUGAUUUUUAUUUGAUUGGUUUGUUAUGUUCAUGUUAGUCUGGUAAAAAGUCUUAAACUAGGUCUGAGGAUUUAAUCUGUGCUUCUUCUUUGUUGGAAUUUUCUUUUUUUUUAUUUGGAAAUUAUU
rnacentral:pre_miRNA from 1 species